CAGACUGAAGGCCUCGGGUACAUUUUAUCUGGUUAACACCAUGGUGGACAUGCCUGCUGUAAGGUGUCCCCUUAGGAAGUAGGCAUUUGCGACCACAGCGGAGGACACGGACCCUGUAAAUGGCAUAACCUUACUUUGCCUUGUAUCCCAGCCUUUGCGCUUCAUCACACCGGGGAUCUGGAGAGCCCUAUGCAGCUCAGAGAGCUGGCGGUAAUGCCCGCAGUGGACCUUCAGAAGAAAGCCUAUCACACAGGGUUGCUUCUUCUUCCAUAGCUCCUGGAUAUAUUUGUAUGUACUCAUCUUGGCUCACCUGAUGGCUGUCUCCAGAGGAAAGAAGUCUUUUUUUUCCCCACAGAUGAGCAUGGGACCACCAUUGACGAGUUGCCUGGUCUUAAACAUAGCAACUUCAGUGGUUCUCCUGGUUAGCCUCCGUUGUUAACAUGACACAGCACAGAUUUAUCUGAAGGAAUCUCAGCUGCUAAGUAGCAUUCCUCCAUGGUGCCAGUAGUCUUCCAUCUCCAGGAACUACUUGGCCCAGAUACUUGUACACUGAGUGUUCACUGAGCAGGAGGUGUGUGAGUUUAACACAACCCUUCAGUCUCUCCAAAUCUGCUGAAUGGUUAUUAUUGCAGGCUUCCCAACUUGACGUUUCCUAGAGGGUGCCAAACUCCUCAGUGUCCGGAUUCAGCAAGUGCUCUCAACAAUUUCUCUUCUCCACUCUCCAAUGCUUCCACAAACGAAAAUAACAAAUCACACUUGUGAACACUGAUUCACCAGUUUGUGAGUUUGGUUCAUUUGUGGAUGAUCUUCAUGAGUAUUUCUAUAGGACUGGAAGGGCUGGAGAAAAUCCACCAGGCAGCAGAGGAUGGCACCUUGCUAACUGCCAAGGGGUUUCUAGGGAUCAGUAUUGCUUUCAAAUGAAAGAAUGAAAAUAGAAACAAAUACUAGAAAGGAAUUGAUAACUGUCAGUAGUAGAAAAGUCAGGCUUGAUGCACAUGCCCCCAGAGAGCGUUGGGUGUGAGAGGGUGUCCAUGUGGCAGAAAUCUCAUCUUCAUUAAGAAGAAUACAUUUCUUGUAGGGGCACAAGGUUCCUGGAAAGAAAACGAGUGGUACACUGAAUGCUCUCUUCCGAGAGAUACAUCCUGGAGGAAGGAAAUAAUGAUGUCACUGGCCAAGGGCCUCAACACAGCCAGAGCACCUCUCCACUGUCCCUUUCCCCCAGACCAACUCCUGUCCAUCUCUCCUCAGAAAAGAGCAGGCCUCCAAGAGACAACAAUGAAACACAGGACAACAAGAUACAAUAAAGCAAGGCAAGAGCUGUCACACCAAAGCUGGACAAGGCAACCAAACUAACAGGAGGAGACGAGUCCCAAGGUGUGUUAUCACCACCGUGCAACCGUGACCUUCACUUUAUUUUCUCAUCCAUAAGUGAUGCAAAUGGAUUAAACGGCAUUAAAAACUCUUCUUUCUAGAAUUCUGAAAGUGUAUAUGACUCCUGCAGCCAAGAAGCCUCUGGUCUCUCAGCAGUCAAAACUAGGCACAAGGUAAAUGUAUGUCUAAUUUUCAAGAUCUGGGAACAUUAGUUUACAUCAUGGAUCUGACAACUGCAACCAAAGUACUGUUUGCGAUUAAAG
rnacentral:lncRNA from 1 species